AAUAGAUACCCCGGUAGUCCACGCCGUAAACGAUGUCGACUUGGAGGUUGUGCCCUUGAGGCGUGGCUUCCGGAGCUAACGCGUUAAGUCGACCGCCUGGGGAGUACGGCCGCAAGGUUAAAACUCAAAUGAAUUGACGGGGGCCCGCACAAGCGGUGGAGCAUGUGGUUUAAUUCGAUGCAACGCGAAGAACCUUACCUACUCUUGACAUCCAGAGAACUUAGCAGAGAUGCUUUGGUGCCUUCGGGAACUCUGAAACAGGUGCUGCAUGGCUGUCGUCAGCUCGUGUUGUGAAAUGUUGGGUUAAGUCCCGCAACGAGCGCAACCCUUAUCCUUUGUUGCCAGCGGUUCGGCCGGGAACUCAAAGGAGACUGCCAGUGAUAAACUGGAGGAAGGUGGGGAUGACGUCAAGUCAUCAUGGCCCUUACGAGUAGGGCUACACACGGUGCUACAAUGGCAUAUACAAAGAGAAGCGACCUCGCGAGAGCAAGCGGACCUCAUAAAGUAUGUCGUAGUCCGGAUUGGAGUCUGCUAACCG
rnacentral:rRNA from 1 species